rnacentral:rRNA from 1 species
UACGUAGGGGGCGAGCGUUGUCCGGAUUUAUUGGGCGUAAAGAGCUCGUAGGCGGCUUGGCAAGUCGGGUGUGAACCUCCAGGCUCAACCUGGAGACGCCACUCGAUACUGCUAUGGCUAGAGUCCGGUAGGGGACCACGGAAUUCCUGGUGUAGCGGUGAAAUGCGCAGAUAUCAGGAGGAACACCGGUGGCGAAGGCGGUGGUCUGGGCCGGCACUGACGCUGAGGAGCGAAAGCGUGGGUAGCAAACAGG